UACGAAGGGGGCUAGCGUUGCUCGGAAUGACUGGGCGUAAAGGGCGCGUAGGCGGCUUGCACGUCAGAUGUGAAAUUCCUGGGCUUAACCUGGGGGCUGCAUUUGAUGCGUGUGGGCUUGAGUGCGGAAGAGGGUCGUGGAAUUCCCAGUGUAGAGGUGAAAUUCGUAGAUAUUGGGAAGAACACCGGUGGCGAAGGCGGCGACCUGGUCCGUGACUGACGCUGAGGCGCGAAAGCGUGGGGAGCGAACAGG
rnacentral:rRNA from 1 species